rnacentral:rRNA from 1 species
GACGUACGCUGGCGGCGUGCUUAACACAUGCAAGUCGAACGGUGAAGCGCCUUCCUUUUUGGUGGGUGUGGAUGAGUGGCGAACGGGUGAGUAACACGUGAGUAACCUGCCCCCUUCUUCUGGAUAACCGCAUGAAAGUGUGGCUAAUACGGGAUAUUCUGGGUCUGUCGCAUGAUGGGUCUGGGAAAGAUAUUGUUUCGGUGGGGGAUGGGCUCGCGGCCUAUCAGCUUGUUGGUGGGGUGAUGGCCUACCAAGGCGGUGACGGGUAGCCGGCCUGAGAGGGUGGACGGUCACACUGGGACUGAGACACGGCCCAGACUCCUACGGGAGGCAGCAGUGGGGAAUAUUGCACAAUGGGCGCAAGCCUGAUGCAGCGACGCCGCGUGAGGGAUGGAGGCCUUCGGGUUGUGAACCUCUUUCGCCAGUGAAGCAGGCCUGCCUCGUUUGUGGGUGGGUUGACGGUAGCUGGAUAAGAAGCGCCGGCUAACUACGUG